CCUACGGGUGGCAGCAGUGAGGAAUAUUGGUCAAUGGUCGGGAGACUGAACCAGCCAAGCCGCGUGAGGGAUGAAGGUACAGUGUAUCGUAAACCUCUUUUGUCAGGGAACAAAGGCGGGGACGCGUCCCAGGAUGAGUGUACCUGAAGAAAAAGCAUCGGCUAACUCCGUGCCAGCGGCCGCGGUAAUACGGAGGAUGCGAGCGUUAUCCGGAUUUAUGGGGUUUAAAGGGUGCGCAGGCGGACUGUUAAGUCAGCGGUCAAAGCCCGGGGCUCAACCCCGGCACGCCGUUGAAACUGGCAGUCUCGAGGUGGCGAGAAGUAUGCGGAAUGCGCGGUGUAGCGGUGAAAUGCAUAGAUAUCGCGCAGAACUCCGAGUGCGAAGGCAGCAUGCCGGCUCCACACUGACGCUGAGGCACGAAAGCGUGGGUAUCGAACAGGAUUAGAUACCCUAGUAGUC
rnacentral:rRNA from 1 species